UUUGUUUGUUUGUUUAAGAAAAAGACUACUUGAAAGAAAAAAUAUAUACCUGGUAUUAUAGAUAGAGUAUAUACCUGAUAUUAAGGAUAGACCUGAAAGUAAGGCCACCUUUGUGGCUCUGUUAUUUGUGCCCUGCAUGAUCACAUGAAAAAACAAAAAAAAAAUGUUACUCAUGAAGAAGAAAAACACUACUAGAAAUAACAGUAAAACAGACAAAAGUGGGGAAAAGAAAAUCAGUGGAGCUGAAUCAGCUGAGAAAUAAGGAUUUCAGACUAAGAUGUGAGAAGCAUCUUUGUUUUGUCUACGAUUUGUUCUUGCUGAUUGUCAUUCACUUGCUGCGAUGGUGCUCAGGUUAUGCCUGAUUUUGAAUCAAUAUAUCAAUAUAGCAAGUGUCUAUUCCAGGUAGGAGUUUACCCUGCCCUUUAUGGGCUGUCAGUAGUGCUUUCUGCAGCUCUACCCAACACUCCAGCCAACAACCUAGUAACUAUUCACUCCCUUUAUCACAAACUAAUGGAAAUAGACCAGUUCCUGAGUAGCUCUCACCUGCAGCAUUCCCUUCUAGCAUAAGACACGUUUCAGUUACCAAAUAAUUAAAAAGACAACACUAUUGCCUAUAUAGUUCAUGAUAUUUCAAGACAGCUUUUUCCAGAAAUCAUUUUACCUGUAGGAAAUUUCAGACUUAUGUAGUAUUCUGCAAAGGGGACAGAAUGGCAAGUCUGAAGAGUACGUAUUCAGAGAGUUUUAUUUUUCCUUCUGUUGAGUAGUUUAGAAUUUGCGCUGCACUCAAUGAAAAGCGUAUGCCUACACAUCCAGAAAAGGAGGCCUUUAGCUUAUCGUGCCCAUCAGAAAUGCUCAACCUUUAUCACAAAUCUUCAACAAGAGGAACAGGAGUAGAUGCAAAAUCAAGAAAUGCUGGCACUACAGGGAGAGGAUUAUGCAGAAUUCUGCAGCCACUUGGAGUAAUGCAUACGCUUAAUCAUUAAGCCUUUCAGUUGUUUAAUUUUCAGCUAGUAUUUAUAAUGCACCUAUUCAGCAGAAGGAUUUGGCCUUAAGUCAGAAAGAUGAGAUAAACAGGAUGACCAUUAAAACACAAAAACAUGCGCUAUCACCGACUGUGUGAAGAUCAACAUCAGAUUAAAUCCAGUUCAGUGAGUAGUGUUUAUGCAUCUCUCAGCCAGACAGGAUGUUCUACUGAUGUUUCAGGCUGGGCUCCUGCUGAGCAGUGUGAAGCACAGGGAUUGCAUCUCACUGUGCAAGUAAGUCGGUCACAUGUUCAAAGAUACAAAGAAGAGACUUGUGUUCUGUGGGGAGCACUGGGAGGGUCAAACCAUUGUUUUAGCAUUUGAUAGUAUCUGCAGUAAAAGUUCCUAAAGGGCUAUUAUUUGUCGAAAUAUAGGUCCCCUCCUACUUCACAAAUAGCAAGAGUGCUUUCGGUUUUUGUCAUUUCUAAAGAAAAUGAGUAGUAACAGAGGUGGAAAGAAUAGCCUGGCAUCUAACUAAUGAAGCUGAGAGUAGGCAGUGGUUCUGAUUCUCACUCUUAUGUUCAUCUAAAACAACUUAAAAAGACUAUUUUCCUCUCUGAGUUCACCUAAAACAUACAUUACGUUUCAGGUCUCAGGGACCUGAGACACAACACACAUAAAAUUAACUUUGUUUUGAGUUUUUUCCUUCAGUGAUGGGACUUGGCAGGCUGUUAUCUGGGACAGGUAAAGCUGCUCUUAUUGAAGGUAGUUAGGUGAAAGUAAGUAGUAGUCAUUAACUUAUAAAAGCCCUCUGCCACCUGCAAAUCUCCAGUUGCAUGAAGCCAUGAAUUUGAUUGAAGUCUUUCAGCAUUAAAGUGCUUUGUUCUGCCUCCUAACCAGCUUCACUGUGAGCAUCUGAUCAGAGCUGGUCAUCUACCUACAGUUUGUAAGAGGGAAAAGGAAAUUCCAGGGGACAAUUCAUAGGAAUCUACUUUAAACAUUAACAUUUAUGAUGAGGUAAGUGAUAUUAAAAGAGACCAGAUGAAUAGCUUAGGUGUAGGUAUGAGAACUCUAGGCAUCUAAGAUUUGGUAGAGUUAAUCCCACCUUCAGAUACCAAGUGGAAGAUCAUCUGAAGAUAACUUUUAUGCAGAUUCCAAAAGUGUAGUUUGUUUUGAUCCCAUCGCAAAAUGAGGAAGCAUGAAGAAUACAUUGUCCUCACCUGAUCAUUCACCUUUUCCUUGGCAGUGAAAUAACCAACACUGUUGGCAACAUUCUCAUUCAGCUUCAAAGUUAACGUCUCUUUCAAAUGAGUAGGAACUGCUUCAAGCCAUUGUUUUAGGCUGUCUUCAGGCUUGGUUUGAUACCACUAUGCAGGUCGAGUAUUUAAAACUUCACCCAUUAUCAUAGGAUCUAAGCACCUCAAAGUUCCUUCCUUUGCUUACAUACAUUUGAUAUCUUUCAGACCACCUUUGCAAUCUCAAGAACUCAAUUUUGCUUUAAACAAGAGUAGGGAGCAUCAGAAAAGCAAAUAUUUUAUCAAAUAAAUCUGAUCUGACUGUGGUUUAGCAGCAGAUUUUGUUUGCCUGCUCAGUUGCUGCCUCUGCCAAUACUCUGCAGCAAGCAACCAAGAACAGAAGUGACACUGAUCAUGAUUGCUUGCUUGUUAAGAUUUUCCACGUCUAUUCCAAGUAAAUGUACUUUGUUUAUCACAGUUUUCUUUCUGUCACCUUGAAAGUGCUUUUGUAUGCAAGGCUGGAACAAGGGUCAGCAGAUGUUGUGGCCUCGUUUCAAGGUGGGUUGAUUUCUGAUCUCUGGGUAGACAUCAAUUUGUUGCCAUUGUGUCCUGUCUUAUCCUCGGGCGUUUCAGAGCCUCCCUGCUGCAGACAAAACGAGUGUCACUACCUCUGAAUUUCUGCUGUAUAUUGCCAGUGCCCAUAGCUAUUUCUUUGUCCAUAGAGCACUGAGCUCAUCCCUGCCUACUGUGGUCUCAAUUCCCAGCCUCCUCAGGUUUCUCAGCUGGUUGUCUUUUCCUCCACUACCUUUUUCAAGAGGUAUCAGCAUCAGAAUGACAUCCAAAACAAAGUCUUGCUGGCAUGUAUCAGCUGGAGUCUAGCCAGCAAUUUCCUUGGUCAGUUAAAUACUCUCACUCCUCCCUCCUGGGUUGAAUUUAUAGCUACUAACAAGAAGUUGCAAAUAAAAUCCUUAGUCCAAUUUUGCACAUAUUUUUCCCUUUGACUCGCUCUCUGUGGGUUCACAAGUGAACAUUUACAGCGCUUUUACUGGCAACACUUCUCUUUGUGUCUUCCUGUGGCAUCAGAUCCUUUUACCCACAGGACGAUCUGUUCCAAACAAAUGCAGGUGGUCAGGAAUUUCUGUUUCCUGGCAGUGUUCAACAGCUGCAGAAACCUUACACUUCAGUACACCCAAAGAACAGACAUUUUUAAUGUUUCUUAAUUUACAUCUCUUGCUUUGGUUGGACUAAAGACUUGCUUUCUCCUCUCUUUCCAUUCCUACCUUUUCCUCCCUCAACACAUUUCCAGAGCUUCUUAAUUUACUUUUUCCUGCAGAGAGCUCCACAAACCCUUCCAAUUUUCAGGUAGUCCAGAAAAUUAAGGAAUUCUAUUAGCCUAUACAUUUCUUCCUGUAUCAGUUCAUAUCCAGAAGGUGACAAUACUGUAACCUCUGAAGCUAUGAUUAACAUUCAUAGAAUCAUAGAACCACAAGGUUGGAAAGGACCUAAAAGAUCAUCUAGUCCAACCGUCCUCCCUUUACCAUACCUACAGGAAAUCCCUAAACCAUAUCUCCUAGCUCCCCAUCCACGCGCUUCUUGAACACUGGCAGGGAUGGCGACUCCACCACCUCCCUGGGCAACUGAAUAUUGGAGGGGUCUAAAUUCUAUCCCAGGCUAUUUUUCCCAGCCAUCCCCUUUCUUGACUAGAUGGAACCCGGAAAUCUCUGGAAGGGACAGAAGUCUGUGUGAGGAAGGCAGUACAAAGAACAGGCCAAUCUGAAACCGCAGCAGUCUCCAACAGAUCAACAGUUCAGAAAGUGUAUAAGAAAGCCAUGUAAUGUCUAAUCAUUUUUAGGACCCAAGUGGUACGCAACAGCAAAUUAACCAGCAGGCAGCAAUUCGAGGGAAGAAAUAUUUCAUACAUGCAAGCAUAGGAAGGUUUUAAGAGUUUCAUAAACUGCAUUCCAAGAGCUUACACUGAAAAUGGAUUCCUGUCCUACUACCUUGUUAGACAACGAAAACAGAGAAAGAACAACAUGUCCUCACCUUUCAGGCCUCUAAAAUGCAGCUGCCAUUUUUAUCUUCUGAAUAAAUUCUUGCACUUCUUAUUUUAAGCUGGCUACAAUGUUUGCCCAACACGAUGACAGUAAAUCACCCUUGGUUUUUAUUCCUACAAAGAAACUGCUGUAAGAUGAUACUCCUAACACAAACAAUCCCUCUAGGUAGUACAAAAGCCAGUGAAAGCUUGGUUGUUCACCAGCAUCACAUCGCUUGGGCAACAACAAGCUGCUUGCUAUCUAAUAUUCCCACUGGGAUCUCAGCAGAUCUAAUACAGUAACAAGCUACUUGCUGUUGUUAAAGGAGUUUUUCCUUAGAAAUAAAGUCUGGGCUUAAAAGCACUAUCUUGUGCAGGAAUAAAAUGAAUCUGUUCUUCCCUAACAGUUAAGAGAAGUCAAAUUAUCAGCCAAGGUAUUUUAAUUGGUUACCAAUACUUUCACAUCUUCAUACAACUUAACCUUACUCUUUAUCUAUUGUCUUGCAUUUAGGUUCCUCACAGAAGUCAAUAGAACAUUAGGACCCAGAGUACUUGGAAUAUAUUCAAGAUGAAAAACUGGAUGACAAUCUGAAUACAGUUAACAACAGAAAGUUACUGCAUGCAAAUGAACAGGAGAAAUGACAGGCAGAUAUAAAAAAAAAAAAGAGGUCAGGGAAUACUUGCCAGUUAUUUGGCAACUAUCUAACGAUGUAUGUCUUCUAUUUAGAGUACCAAGUUGCUUGAUAAUGGGGUAGAUGAGCACACCUGGAUGCGAAUCACCAGCACUGUGCAGAUGUCUGAACAAGAUACAUCUUAGAAAACAACACAGGUACAUCCUGCAAUGUAAAUACUCAUUUACACAAACAUGCAUUAUUUAAACUCAUUAAUCUUCAUGUUCAAUGGUCACCCAACGUCAAAGGUCCAUAAGCUCAGUAUUAGUCUUUCAUAUGCCCUAGGUCCAGUCAGCUGGACUGAAAAGAUGGAAGUGUUCUCUUCCGCUCCCUGUAAGUCUGACUGUAGAUGAACCAUCUUGCUUUAAGGAAUCAAAAGAGCAAGUGGGGGAAAAAAAACAAAAAAAUCUAAGGCCACUUUCUAAAGAGCAAUGAGAUUCUGUCUGCUUCCCUAGAAAAAGGGAGUCCAAUCAUUAUUUACAUAAAAGGAAGAUCUUACAAAGAUGCAAGAUUAUGAAACAGUACAACCCAAGAACGGAACUGGAAGAACGUGCCUGCUCUUCUCAGGCCAGUUUUGCCAUUCUAUUUAAGCUUAUAGAAGUGAUAUACUUUUAAGAAAGCUAUUAAGAAGCAUAGAAAACCUA